GGAUGUGAGGGGGAUCUGGCUGUGAUAUCUGUUACCCCAGUCAUCCCCGGGGUUGGUUCAGCUGAUCUGUUUUGGUUAGGUGGGUGUCCCCUUCCUCCCCUCGCAGUGUCCCUCCAAAAGUUGCAUGCUUAGGUGAAAAGGACCAAAUAGAGGUGGGAAGUUCUUCAGUCAAGGUCAUACCAGUAGCUCUGCUUGUCCCAUUAGACUCUCCAAACAAGCACCCGAAUGUCUGCCCAUCAGCGAACAGAGAAGUCAACUCAGUGUAAAGUCAGGCAUCUCUCAAUGACAACAGAAGUCAACAGUG
rfam:Erinaceus europaeus unplaced genomic scaffold scaffold00139, whole genome shotgun sequence